rnacentral:rRNA from 1 species
CAGGCUUAACACAUGCAAGUCGAACGGAUCCUUCGGGAUUAGUGGCAGACGGGUGAGUAAUGCAUGGGAAUCUACCUUUCUCUACGGAAUAACUCAGGGAAACUUGUGCUAAUACCGUAUACGCCCUUUUGGGGAAAGAUUUAUCGGAGAGAGAUGAGCCCAUGUUGGAUUAGCUAGUUGGUAGGGUAAAGGCCUACCAAGGCGACGAUCCAUAGCUGGUCUGAGAGGAUGAUCAGCCACACUGGGACUGAGACACGGCCCAGACUCC